rnacentral:other from 1 species
CGCACAUCAGAUUUCCUGGUGUAACGAAUUUUUCAAGUGCUUCUUGCGAACGCAAGUUUCAUCCCGGCAUUAAUACUGCCGGGAUUC